rnacentral:rRNA from 1 species
GGUUGGGCUGUUCGCCCAUUAAAGAGGCACGCGAGCUGGGUUCAGAACGUCGUGAGACAGUUCGGUCCCUAUCCAGCGUGGGCGUAAGAAAUUUGCGAGGACCUGUCCUUAGUACGAGAGGACCGGGAUGGACAUACCACUGGUGUACCAGUUGUUCCGCCAGGAGCAUAGCUGGGUAGCUAAGUAUGGAAUUGAUAAGUACUGAAAGCAUCUAAGUACGAAGCAACCCUCAAGAUAAGAUUUCUAAAAGUACGUAAAGAAAAUACGUUAGAUAGGUCCAAGGUGUAAGUGCAGUAAUGCAUUAAGCUAAUGGAUACUAAAC